GAUGAACGCUGGCGGCGUGCCUAAUACAUGCAAGUCGAGCGAACAGACGAGGAGCUUGCUCCUCUGACGUUAGCGGCGGACGGGUGAGUAACACGUGAUAACCUACCUAUAAGACUGGGAUAACUUCGGGAAACCGGAGCUAAUACCGGAUAAUAUAUUGAACCGCAUGGUUCAAUAGUGAAAGACGGUUUUGCUGUCACUUAUAGAUGGAUCCGCGCCACAUUAGCUAGUUGGUAAGGUAACGGCUUACCAAGGCGACGAUGCGUAGCCGACCUGAGAGGGUGAUCGGCCACACUGGAACUGAGACACGGUCCAGACUCCUACGGGAGGCAGCAGUAGGGAAUCUUCCGCAAUGGGCGAAAGCCUGACGGAGCAACGCCGCGUGAGUGAUGAAGGUCUUCGGAUCGUAAAACUCUGUUAUUAGGGAAGAACAAAUGUGUAAGUAACUAUGCACGUCUUGACGGUACCUAAUCAGAAAGCCACGGCUAACUACGUG
rnacentral:rRNA from 1 species